rnacentral:rRNA from 1 species
AGUGAACGCUGGCGGUAGGCCUAACACAUGCAAGUCGAACGGCAGCACAGUGAGAGCCUGCUCUUACGGGUGGCGAGUGGCGGACGGGUGAGGAAUACAUCGGAAUCUACUUUUUCGUGGGGGAUAACGUAGGGAAACUUACGCUAAUACCGCAUACGACCUACGGGUGAAAGCAGGGGAUCUUCGGACCUUGCGCGAUUGAAUGAGCCGAUGUCGGAUUAGCUAGUUGGCGGGGUAAAGGCCCACCAAGGCGACGAUCCGUAGCUGGUCUGAGAGGAUGAUCAGCCACACUGGAACUGAGACACGGUCCAGACUCCUACGGGAGGCAGCAGUGGGGAAUAUUGGACAAUGGGCGCAAGCCUGAUCCAGCCAUACCGCGUGGGUGAAGAAGGCCUUCGGGUUGUAAAGCCCUUUUGUUGGGAAAGAAAAGCAGCAGGUUAAUACCCCGCUGUUCUGACGGUACCCAAAGAAUAAGCACCGGCUAACUUCGUG